rnacentral:pre_miRNA from 1 species
AGUGGAAUUACUGGGUCAUAUGGUAAAUGCUUAACUUUUUGAGUAACUGCCAGACUAUUCUCCAAAGUUUCUGCAUCAUUUUACAUUCUAACCAGUAGU